UUUAGGAGGGGCGAAGCUCCUCUUAUUGUGAGGGCGAGUUAUAUAACACCAUAGGACUGGCCGUCCCAUAUGAAAAGAUUAUAUUAGAAUUGAAUGAAGCUUUGUUUAUAUAUUGAUAAUGACAGUAUAUAUAUCGUGUCUUGACUAAUUGCGUGCCAGCAGUCGCGGUAAUACGUAAGAGACUAGUGUUAUUCAUCUUAAUUAGGUUUAAAGGGUACCCAGACGGUCAAUAUAGCUUAUAAAAUGUUAGUACUUGACUAGAGUUUUAUGUAAGAGGGCAGUACUUGAGGAGGAGAGAUGAAAUUUCGUGAUACCAAAGGGACUCUGUAAAGGCGAAGGCAGCCCUCUAUGUAAAAACUGACGUUGAAGGACGAAGGCACAGAGAACAAGGAUUAGAUACCCAAGUAGUCUUUGCAGUAAAUGAUGAAUGCCAUA
rnacentral:rRNA from 1 species